GAGGAAGCCGGUGCGAACCCGGCGCGGUCCCGCCACUGUGAGCCCCGGCGUCGUCGAGAUGCGGGGGCGAGCCAGACACUC
rnacentral:ncRNA from 2 species